rfam:Astyanax mexicanus chromosome 1, whole genome shotgun sequence.
UAAAAAGCCUUUUUAAAGGCUACCCAUCAAUGUGAAACUAAUUCAC